GAUGAACGCUGGCGGCGUGCCUAAUACAUGCAAGUCGAGCGAACGGACGAGAAGCUUGCUUCUCUGAUGUUAGCGGCGGACGGGUGAGUAACACGUGGAUAACCUACCUAUAAGACUGGGAUAACUUCGGGAAACCGGAGCUAAUACCGGAGGAUAUUUUAAACCGCAGGUUUCAAAAGUGAAAGAGGGUUUUGCUGUCCCUUAUGGAUGGAUCCGCGCUGCAUUAGCUAGUUGGUAAGGUAACGGCUUACCAAGGCAACGAUGCAUAGCCGACCUGAGAGGGUGAUCGGCCACACUGGAACUGAGACACGGUCCAGACUCCUACGGGAGGCAGCAGUAGGGAAUCUUCCGCAAUGGGCGAAAGCCUGACGGAGCAACGCCGCGUGAGUGAUGAAGGUCUUCGGAUCGUAAAACUCUGUUAUUAGGGAAGAACAUAUGUGUAAGUAACUGUGCACAUCUUGACGGUACCUAAUCAGAAAGCCACGGCUAACUACGUG
rnacentral:rRNA from 1 species